rnacentral:rRNA from 1 species
AUUGAACGCUGGCGGAAUGCUUUACACAUGCAAGUCGAACGGCAGCACGGGGCAACCUGGUGGCGAGUGGCGAACGGGUGAGUAAUAUAUCGGAACGUGCCCAAUCGUGGGGGAUAACGUAGCGAAGUUACGCUAAUACCGCAUACGAUCUACGGAUGAAAGCGGGGGAUCGCAAGACCUCGCGCGAAUGGAGCGGCCGAUAUCAGAUUAGGUAGUUGGUGGGGUAAAGGCUCACCAAGCCAACGAUCUGUAGCUGGUCUGAGAGGACGACCAGCCACACUGGAACUGAGACACGGUCCAGACUCCUACGGGAGGCAGCAGUGGGGAAAUUUGGACAAUGGGCGCAAGCCUGAUCCAGCCAUUCCGCGUGCAGGAUGAAGGCCUUCGGUUGUAAACUGCUUUUGUACGGUAACGAAACGGUACUGCCCUAAUACGGCAGGCGUAAUGACGGUACCGUAAGAAUAAGACACCGGCUAACUACGUGCCAGCAGCCGCGGUAA